rnacentral:lncRNA from 1 species
GUUUCCGAAUUGGACUCCUCCUGGAUCAGUUUUUCUCAGAUCGUCGAAAGAAGUGCUAUUAUUUCAUAAACACUGAUAAAGUCAAUACUAUUUCGGAGCUAAAAGAAACUCUGACGUUCAAAUUUGAUUUACCCUCGGAUGUUCAGUUGAUGCACAAUGGGUUCCUAUUGCUGGAUGAAGACACAGUGUUUGUUAUUCGCCAAGACGAAACCAUCGAAGUUGUUCCUUGCUCUCCGCUGCAGGAGAAAAGUUUCUUGAAAGAAAGAACUGAAGAUACCUCCUCGCCAUCAAAACGAGAACCACAUUGUAGUCGAGCCCAGGUAAAAAGCACAAAUGAAAAAAUUCCAAGCUCAAAAGACAAAAUCACGGAACCACACUCCCUCCAGACAAAUUCUGAUGAAAGUUCAAGUGGAGAGAAAGUUAAAAAGAAGAAAAAGAAAAAACGAAACCGAAGUCCUGAAAAUCUUCAUGUUUUAGAAAACUCUGUUGAUGAUGCAAGUGGAAUGGACUACCACUCAACACCUCUUAACUUUGUUCAAGCUAGCAACAAGUAUUACCAAAUCGAAAAGGCUGAAUCUCCUAGUUCUUCCUCCAAUUUUAUCAAAGACUCAGUGAAAACUCCUAUUCUAAGUGAGAGUAAACAUGUAUUCGAUGAUGAAAGUGAAGUACAAAAUCUUGCUUUGCAAAGUGCCAAUCCUCAUUCAAAUUCUUUGAAUAAUGUAGAUUCUAAUAGGAGUAAUAAAAGAAAGUGGAAAAAUGAAAGUAAUAGACUGAGAUAUUCGGUGUAGCAGAACUUAUAAAACAAAUUCAGACUAGCACUAGUUCAAAAGUAGAAACUGAAGAACCUACCAUUGAUACCGCAAUCGAUGAUUCAAGCCCCAAAGCAAAAAGGAAAAGAACUCGCCGUCAUAGAAAAAGGAAAACAAAAUCAAACGAUAACUCCUUCAAUACCAGCAAUAUGGCUCCAAUUUCCACAGAAAAUGGCUCCACUGAAGAUUUUAAAGAGAUGCAAAGCAAACCUCGUCUCCACAAGAGGUUUGACAGUCAUGAAGAUGUCAGCUUGAACUUCGAUACGCAUCAAAAUGCUAUUGCAACUACUGCAGCCUCGCACGAAAUUAAUUCACACUCAAAAUUAUGCAGUCAAAUUUCACCUCUAACCCCACCGUCUGAGCACAAUUCUGAAGAUGAUGUUUAUAAGAAACUACUUAACUUGAAAAAAAUGAAUAAACCAGUAGUGUUUGAACGAGUCCUGAAAGGAGAUGUGCGUAACAUUCAUGAUGAAGAAAAACCUUUGCUGACAUCUGAAGAAGUUGAUGCUGUUCCUUCAAAUAGUGAAAAGAACGCCAAUGAAGAUCAAAUGGAAAUAAUUUAUCAAGAUACCAAUGAAGCAGUAUUGCCAUUAAAAGUUGUAUCGAACUCAAGUAGCAAUGAUGAAGCUGAAACUUUUAUUGGUACUGAAAAUCAAAGGAGUGAAAUUGAUAGUUCCAAAAAAGAGCCCUGCCCUGUACAUAUUAAGAAGACUAUUUGUGAUAAUAACUUAGAAAAAAUUGAUAUCAGCAACUAUCCUAUCAUUGAAAGUACUCGGAAAAAUGACAUUUUAGUAUUCAAGACACUGAAGUUAAGUGCCAGUCUCUCUCCUACACUGUCUAAUUUAAUCCUUGCCCGUGUUUUGGAUACUUAUCCAGGAACUUUAAUCUUAUUUGAAAUCUUAGGGGGUGAAGAAGAGCUAGAUUUCACUACAGAUGGAUCCCUCAUGGAAGAGCAUAAAACCCCAAAUCCCUUGAUCAAAUUGAAUUGGACUGACUUAUAUGAGCCACGCCUUCUUUAUCCAUGAGAUUGUCUAGCAAUAAUGAAUUCUUCAGUCUUCAUUUGUAUGCUCUUAUACUGAUAGCUUCUGCCUAGAAAUUUAAGUUCUAUUUUGGUGCCAACAGAGUUUACAGAGAUGGUGCUCAGGAACUACAAAUCGAUGGUGUAAGUUGACAAUCACAUAACUCGGUUUGCGACGUCGCAGACUUCCUAUCAUACUUUAUUUUUUAAAUGGAAAACUUCUCAACGACAAUUCUUUAAAACUGUCGUGAUUUUUCUUCUCUAUGUGUAGAAAAUUCUGCAAAAACUGCAAGAAAUGAUAUCAAGUUGUUCUCCUUUAAAAAAAUAUCAUAGAGGCGAAGAUUUUCAGACACUGCAGACGAGUUAUGUGAUUGCCGACUUACACCGUCGAAAUGUUCUCUUUUAUGGAGACCUCAUUCCAGCUGUAGGCUACUCAAUUAAGACUGGAGGUAGCUCCAUGUUUUUGAUCCGACUACCUACUCUAGAAAGAAGAGAUAUUUUGCUACUUUUUUUUUUAUUGCAAGUUGAUAUACCUAUGGCCAUUCGUGCAAUGGACCACUAGAAAACCACUUAUAUAUCAAAGCAUUCUGAUAAUUGUUAGCAAAACAAAAUUUCAUGUAGAACACGAAUUAGUUGAAAGCAAUUGCUAAAAUGGAUUCCUAUUCAUGACAUCUAAUGAUUCUGUAUGCAUAAAUUCAAACUCCCUUCCUAUGAAAAAACAUAAUUCAAAGGUAGUCAAAUCGUCCAUUAAAUGUUCCCGCAACAGUCUCUGCAGCAUCAUAAUAUGACAACCUUGGCGGUUCGGCUCUGCUGUUUCACAUCAUUCACACUUUGAAGAACACUGCUUGAUUAAGGAGCCUGCGACACCGUUGUAUUGCGCAAUUUCAUACAGAGUAUUCUUUUUCUUGUGAACGGGCAAUUCAAAUUUCCUGCUAAUAAUGCUAACUGAAAACGUUAAUAUCCUGAUUGGAAGUAAAUUUAAGCAAUCUACUUUACCCGAAUAAAAUUCUGUGUGAAAUUUUGAUCAAGCAUCAUGCACCAGAAUGCUGUAAUUUGUACCUUGUAUGGUAGUCCAUUGUAACAAAUCAGUCCUCACCCAACAUGUACAGGAUGGAAAACCCACAUUUUAGGAUGCAGACGGUGAAGUAUUGUAAAAAUACUCAAGAGUUUUUUAGAAUACUCAAUUUCUUAUUGGUCGCCAUAGAACAAGCCUAUAACACUUGCAAUUUAAAAAAAAUAGUGAUGACUCAUUAUACAGCUGACUAAAGUCAAUUCAUCAAAGUUGCUUCAUACAUGAAAUGCAACAAUCUCAAAUAUAUUGUACUGCAUCGGAUUCUCUCAUUACAAACUAAAAGGUUCAAAAAGCUUGUCCAUAAAAAAAUCUUGGAAAUUUUAAUUUAUUUAAUUUAAGAGUUUAAAUGUGUUUCCAUAUGAAUGCUGUAAUGCCCCUGAUUAAUUCUUAUAUUUCUUUGAUAAUCCUAGCCGCAUACUUAUUUUGACCUCAAAUUUUAAUAUACUUACAGGUACGCAAACAUCUUUUUUGUUUUUGUUACUGAAAUAAAAAUUUUUUGAGAAGUUCCACCAUUUCAUUAUUGGAUGUUCAUUCUAUUCAGAGUGAUAGUCAAGGAGUUUUUAAGAUAUUUGACAAAAUCUACUAUUUUCUUUAAGUUUAAUUUCAUAUUUUCGCAUUUAUUUAUUUUUGGUAUCGGUACCCACAGGCUGAUUAACUUUUUCUUGAUGGUCCACCAGACAAAUUCCUAACUAGCAAGAGAAUCGCACAUUUUCUCUUCAAAAUCUCAUGCAGGAAACUUUUCAUGUGACAAGAAAUUCCGAAAUCAACUCCUGAAUUAGAUACUAACAAGUAUUUUUAACUCAAAUGAAAUGGAAAUUAGACUAUAAAAAGACUGUCAUCUGUAUACUUGUCAUUUAAAAAAUGUAAAUUGUGAACAUUUACAUCUUGCUUAGGAGUUGAUUUCCAGACUUCUUGUUGUGUAAUUCAUCUUUGCAGUGAAAUUUUGAAGAGAAAAUAUGUUGCGCAGUGCUUUAAUUCAUACCUUGUCAAGUUGCCCAGUGUGAGGUACUGCAAGGUCAAACUGAAAUGAAGUCCCAUCUUUGGUUGAUUGGAUCAUGUGAUCCCUUUACUCUGCUCUAAUCAGGUCAUCGUGUUAGGCUCUCUGAACUCGUAGGUAACUUACUCAGAUAAGAGUCUAAACAAAUGAUAGGAGUCUUGUGAUUUAGCCACCAGUACUGUGAAGAUCAAAAAAGUAACAAUAAUCUCUCAUGUUUGGGCAGUGAUUUCUCUCUUGUCUUGUGUCAAGACAUGUGCUACCCCUCAGUCCCUAAAUAUUUUUUUCAGCUGGCUACCCUUGAUAAUCCACUCUAGUCAAAU